rnacentral:snRNA from 1 species
AUGCUUGCUUUGGCAGCACAUAUACUAAAAUUGGAACGAUACAGAGGAGAUCAGCAUGAAAAGGAUGUUGUGCAAAUUUGUGAAGCAUUCCGCUUUUUU